GACGAACGCUGGCGGCGUGCUUAACACAUGCAAGUCGAACGGUGAAGGUGGAGCUUGCUCCGCCGGAUCAGUGGCGAACGGGUGAGUAACACGUGGGCAACCUGCCCCUCACUUCGGGAUAACUCCGGGAAACCGGGGCUAAUACCGGAUACGACCUCCUUGGGCAUCCUUGGAGGUGGAAAGCUUUUCGGUGAGGGAUGGGCCCGCGGCCUAUCAGCUUGUUGGUGAGGUAGUGGCUCACCAAGGCGACGACGGGUAGCCGGCCUGAGAGGGCGACCGGCCACACUGGGACUGAGACACGGCCCAGACUCCUACGGGAGGCAGCAGUGGGGAAUAUUGCGCAAUGGGCGAAAGCCUGACGCAGCAACGCCGCGUGCGGGAUGAAGGCCUUCGGGUUGUAAACCGCUUUCAGCAGGGAAGAAGCCGCAAGGUGACGGUACCUGCAGAAGAAGCACCGGCUAACUACGUGCCAGCAGCCGCCGUAA
rnacentral:rRNA from 1 species